UACGUAGGGGGCGAGCGUUGUCCGGAAUUAUUGGGCGUAAAGAGCGUGUAGGCUGUUCGGUAAGUCUGCCGUGAAAACCUGAGGCUCAACCUCGGGCGUGCGGUGGAUACUGCCGGGCUAGAGGACGGUAGAGGCGAGUGGAAUUCCCGGUGUAGCGGUGAAAUGCGCAGAUAUCGGGAGGAACACCAAUGGCGAAAGCAGCUCUCUGGGACGGUACUGACGCUGAGACGCGAAAGCGUGGGGAGCGAACAGG
rnacentral:rRNA from 1 species